GAUGAACGCUGGCGGCGUGCCUAAUACAUGCAAGUCGAGCGAACAGACGAGGAGCUUGCUCCUCUGACGUUAGCGGCGGACGGGUGAGUAACACGUGGAUAACCUACCUAUAAGACUGGGAUAACUUCGGGAAACCGGAGCUAAUACCGGAUAAUAUAUUGAACCGCAUGGUUCAAUAGUGAAAGACGGUUUUGCUAUCACUUAUAGAUGGAUCCGCGCCGCAUUAGCUAGUUGGUAAGGUAACGGCUUACCAAGGCAACGAUGCGUAGCCGACCUGAGAGGGGGAUCGGCCACACUGGAACUGAGACACGGUCCAGACUCCUACGGGAGGCAGCAGUAGGGAAUCUUCCGCAAUGGGCGAAAGCCUGACGGAGCAACGCCGCGUGAGUGAUGAAGGUCUUCGGAUCGUAAAACUCUGUUAUUAGGGAAGAACAAAUGUGUAAGUAACUAUGCACGUCUUGACGGUACCUAAUCAGAAAGCCACGGCUAACUACGUG
rnacentral:rRNA from 1 species